GCGUAAGCGCGCGCAGGCGGUUUCUUAAGUCUGAUGUGAAAGCCCACGGCUCAACCGUGGAGGGUCAUUGGAAACUGGGGAACUUGAGUGCAGAAGAGAAAAGCGGAAUUCCACGUGUAGCGGUGAAAUGCGUAGAGAUGUGGAGGAACACCAGUGGCGAAGGCGGCUUUUUCUUCUGUUUCUGACUCUGAGGCGCGAAAGCGUGGGGAGCAAA
rnacentral:rRNA from 1 species